rnacentral:rRNA from 1 species
ACUCAAAGGAAUAGACGGGGGCCCGCACAAGCGGUGGAGCAUGUGGUUUAAUUCGAUGCUACGCGAAGAACCUUACCUAGACUUGACAUCCCGCGCUACCCUAAGAAAUUAGGGGUUCUCUUCGGAGACGCGGUGACAGGUGCUGCAUGGCUGUCGUCAGCUCGUGUUGUGAGAUGUUGGGUUAAGUCCCGCAACGAGCGCAACCCUCGCCCUUAGUUACCAUCAUUAAGUUGGGCACUCUAAGGGGACCGCUUGGCUAUAAGCCAGAGGAAGGUGGGGAUGACGUCAAGUCCUCAUGGCCUUUAUGUCUAGGGCUACACACGUGCUACAAUGGGAGACACAGAGCGUCGCAAGCCGGUGACGGCAAGCUAAUCGCAAAAAAUCUCCUUCAGUUCGGAUUGGAGUCUGCAACUCGACUCCAUGAAGCUGGAAUCGCUAGUAAUCGCGGAUCAGCACGCCGCGGUGAAUACGUUCCCGGGCCUUGUACACACCGCCCGU